rnacentral:lncRNA from 1 species
GUUCUGGCAUGCUAUGUACAGUACCUAUCCCAAAUGCAGUUACAGUAGCAAGGAUAAACACCUCCACUUGUCCCUUAAACAUUAUAUCCAUUACACAGUAUCCUAUCUUGUUCACUUUGAUGCCCUUUCUUCAAAAAAACAUUUUACUUGACCCUUCAUUGUAUUGUAUGAUUCUGCUGGAUCAGCCAACUGGAUAUUACUCCAAAAUGCCAACCUGUGUGCCGUCAAUGAACAGACACAUAAUCUCAAUCUAAGGUGCGUUGUCAUUCAUUAUAGUAAGUAUAUACACUGUAUGUUACUGACAUUCAUGUUUUAGUCUACAAACAUCGGUGUACAAUUACAGUGUUGUACAACAAAUCAAUAUAUACAGCAUGUGGGUGGAUGAUACAAAUUGCAUAUUAAUUUGACAUUCUAAAAAUACUGUAUUUCAGAAGAUGGCGCCCCUCCUCGGACGGGCGGCGCUCGGCGGUCGUCGUCGCCGGUCUACUAGCUGCCACCGAUCUAUGUUUCUGUGUUCUUUGGUUUUUGUCUGUCUAGGUCCGCACCUGUUUCUUGUCUGCCAUUAGUGGGAGGGGGUAUUUAGUUUGUUCCUUUGUGUUCUGUAUUCGUGCGGGAUUAUUUGUAUGUCGACGGGUAGUGAUUUUGUGUACACGGUUUUGUGUUUUCAGCAUGCUGCAUUCUAUAUUUUUAUUGCCGGGCUGCGCCCCGUGCGUUAUCAUUUUUGGAUAACCUUUUCCGUUUGGGUGUUGUGCGCACCCUGUGCCUUUUGACCACCUUUGUUUCGGUGGAAAUAAACUUCGGCACUAUUGGACCUCAGUCUCCUGCUCUUGACUCUGCCCCUUCUCCCUGCCCUUAAGGAAACGUGACAAUUUCAGUAACAACAGACCAUUUCAAGUAAUAUGGAAGAGUAUUAGAGCUUAUUGGAAUGAUAUGCAGUCAUGAUAUUGAAAUUGUUGAGACAUUACAGGCAAUAUGCUACCAUAAAUAAUGGUUAUUCUCUCUUAAAUGUACUAUGAUACCUUUAUGACCUUUGUACAGUGAUAGCAGCUGUUGUUGUUUCUUCCAUCUAGUUAGAGUUUAAAAUUACACAGCUUACUUAAGCUCUGCAGUCUCAGACAUUGAAUUAUUCUCUCACACGCACAUGCGCAUAGAUGAUAUAGAUGAUAUUGUGGUAUAUGCCUGACAUUGACUAUGUGGUCAGUCCAUAAGAGAGUACUUUUUGUGGUUUUAUUAAGGCACAGAGCUUCUUCUGCUGAAAGUCCUUUUUGGUAGAGAUGACCCAAGAGCAGAUGGUGUCAUUCUAGUGGACAGGCAGGAUAUGGAAAAUCCCACUUCCCCUGAGCUGGAGUAAACACUACUACCACUGCCCCCUGCCUCGCUCUCAAAGCCCCAGCUCCUAGCCACCUCUGUCUCCUCAUCCUCCUAUUCCUUUUCUUCCUACUCCUCCUUCUCCUCUUCUUCCUCCUCCUCCUCCUCGGCACUCUCAAGCUUGAGCUCUUGGAUUGCUGUGUGAAGGUCCAUCAGCUUUUGUAUCAAGGCCUGGUCCUGAGAUUGCAUUUCCAUCUGCACAAAACAGUUAGGAUUUUAAACAGAGCGACAAAGACAC